GCCAAGAACUAUUUUUAACUCUGGAGCUCAUCCCUUCACAGGACCAAUUGUUGGCAGAGCGUGAUGCCAGAGAAGGCACCUACAAACUCUGAAACCUGGUCCGUCAGCGCAUCCUCCACACCAGGACAGAGACUUUCCAAGAUUAGAAGGCUGAAAAAGAAGACUCGGGAGGACAUGUUCAGUGAGUUAAUGCGUGCCUCCAAGAGUGACAAGACGGAGCUCAGCGCAUGGAGGAUGACACUGUCAGAGAGUCUGCACAAUAACCGUGAGGACAGAAGAGCAUGCAGGGAAGAGGAGUGUGACACGCCGGAUGAGAUGGUUCGGAUUAUGAGGGAGCAAACAGACAUGUUGAGGUGUCUGGUUGAGGUUUAAGAAAGACAGGUGGAUGCUAGAGCCCUGCUGCAGCCUAUGCUGAACCUGAUGCCAUCGUCACCAAGUUCCACAUCCUCCUCUCCCAGACGUCCUAGGAUGUGGCCAUGGGGGCGGGGCGAAGUCUGGUAUUCCUUGCACUCAACUCCAGGGGAGGGUACAAGGACCAGAAGGCGCCCAUUCCCACACCUUUGAUUGUUAUUGCAGUGCAUCUGUAAGCAAACUGUCCUUCUUUUGCCCCGAGUUAUCUUACUUUUCUUUGCUGUCUCUCAGUGUUUGUGAGCACAAUAAAACUUAAUGGAUUGA